GAUGAACGCUAGCGGCAGGCUUAAUACAUGCAAGUCGAGGGGCAGCGCAGUGUAGCAAUACAUGGGCGGCGACCGGCAAACGGGUGCGGAACACGUACGCAACCUUCCUUUAAGUGGGGGAUAGCCCAGGGAAACUUGGAUUAAUACCCCGUAAUAUUAUGAAGUGGCAUCACUUUAUACUUAUAGCUCCGGCGCUUAAAGAUGGGCGUGCGACUGAUUAGGUAGUUGGCGGGGUAACGGCCCACCAAGCCUGCGAUCAGUAACUGGUGUGAGAGCACGACCAGUCAAACGGGCACUGAGACACGGGCCCGACUCCUACGGGAGGCAGCAGUAAGGAAUAUUGGUCAAUGGACGCAAGUCUGAACCAGCCAUGCCGCGUGGAGGAUGAAGGUCCUCUGGAUUGUAAACUUCUUUUAUUUGGGAAGAAACCCACUGUUUCUACGGUGGUUGACGGUACCAGAUGAAUAAGCACCGGCUAACUCCGUGCCAGCCGCCGCCGUAAGAC
rnacentral:rRNA from 1 species